CACAGCAACGCCGGAUCCUUACCCCACUGAGCAAGGCCAGGGAUUGAACCCGCAACCUCAUGGUUUCUAGUCAGAUUAGUUAACCAUUGCGCCACCACGGGAACUCCGUAAAAUCUAAAUUUCCUUGUAAACCUUUUGUUUCCAUAAAGGUCUCCAGGUUUCUGAAAACAGAUGUUAAUGUUCAUAUGCAGGGAAAAAUCAAGGGUAAGUGCUUCUAAAAAUUGCAAGUGUGGGCAUGGGCUUCUUUCCCGAUGGGAUACUGACUCUGUACUCCCUGCAGCCUUGUGGGUGAACACCCAGCCCGGGAGCUCCUCUAGACACCCGGGCUGUGGCCUUAGUACAGCUGCCAAUGUGAAAGGAAGCCAGGCAGAGAAGAAAGGGCCAAAACUUACCUGAUGCAGAGACAGUAGGAAGUCUGGCUCUGAUUCAGAAUUCGAAUGCAGAAUGCCGGGUUCUGAGCUUUGUCUUGAUAUUUAAAAGAAAAACCUUGGAGGAGGGGUCAGCUUGGCACAGAUGUCUGGAGCUUCAUUCAGUUGAACUGACGGCAUUAGGAAAUAGCACUGAUCUUCCUCUUUGAACCUUCCCUGUGAAACCCACUAAUUCCUGCCCACUUCUAGAACAGGACGAAGACACACAUUGUAACCUCUUUUGUGGAAUUAGAGCUACUAGGGCCGGUGCCCCGAGGUAAUCAGAGGGCAGACAGAAACUUCCCACAGAACACCAGGGCAGCGACUUCCCUGAUUUUGAUAUUUGUACAUGAAUCCAAACCAGGAACAGAACCUCAGCAUCUUUCCAACGUGAGAGCUAAGUGAGUUCUAGUUACUCAGAUUCAUUCGGCCUUCACCUCGGUGGUAAAGCGCCUAGGCUUAUGUAUCCUGGCUCUGCUGCUCUGUCUGUGAAUAUGUCAGUUGACCUCUUUUGUGCCUGGUUUGCUCAUCUGUGAAAGGAGGAUAAUGGUGUCUACCUCCUGAGGAUGUUGUAGCACUGAAAUUUGUUAGUAUAUGGAAAGUUCUCAGAACAGCUUUCAGUACUCAGUAAAGGUCAGAUAUCUGUUUUCCUUGAAUUUUCAGAGCGCUAGGCAGAAACACCGACAGCACACCAUGCGCUUUCGUGAUGCCAGUUAAACAGCUGGACUCCCUGACUGCACUUUUAGGGCUAGCCCACCCGGUCUCCCACUGAAUGCAGCUCUAGCGCCUGGACUCAGUGCGGGAGCAACUGUCUCAGAAAGGAAAGCAGAACAGGAGGAUCAUGAACAAAAAGGAGAACUCGGGGCACCACCAACCCGGCAGACCAGAAACUAAAAUCGUGGAUCAAUAAAGAAAAGAAGCGUCCACCUGCAAGUGUUUCUUCUGGGUUCCUUGAAAUGUCAGUGACCUCACGUCUUGCUCUCCUGAUUGACCCCCCCGCCGUGGGCUUGCUUGGCUCAAGGAGGAAUCACGGAUCUGUGAACUUCGGCAGAAGGUUGUUGCCGCUGCCUCAUCAGAAGCAGAGGAAGCAGAAGACAAGCAAAGGAAAGGGGGUCCCCGAGCCCCUUAGGCCUGAGAGGAGCAGCCUCCACUGGAGACGUGUGUGCUGACCUCCGAAGCUGGACUCAGAACAGGUCCUGGCGUGCUCCUGGCGCUUGGGCAUGUGGGAAACAAGAUGGAAAAAGGAAACCAACCCAGGUAUGUCCCACAAUGCCCACUGAUCCUGCAUCUUUGGGAAAGGGACUCUCAUUUCUGACGUUCUCAAAUGCUUGAGCUGCCAGCACACUUGUCUCCCAAAUCAGAGCUUAUGCACAAGGCACCACACCUCAGAUGCACUCGAAUUCAGUGACCGUGUGUGCUCACGUGUCCGCUGGGGAGGGAUGGCAGGGCCCAGAGGCCAGGAGAGGAAGUGCCAGCUGAAGCCCACGGAAGUUACACUGGGUCUGAGCGGAGCUAGCUCGGCCUGGUGGAAAUGGCGCAGAAGCAGGGGGGGCCCAGUUUCAGUGCUGUUGAGCCAUAUGACCUGGGCAGAACUUACCCUCUCUGUUUCCUCAUCUGUGAGGUGGGGAGAGGCAUACCCCCCACCUGAGGGUAUUGUUAGGGGAACUGAAGCAGAAACCCCCCUACCUUAGCGGGAUCUCUAUUGAGAGAUGCUACCACUUCCUGAGCACCCUCUAGCUGCCAGGCACCCAUUAGCUCAUCUUAUCUUCACAGCUGAAAGUGUUUUCACCCACGUUAGACAGUGAAAGAUGCGGGACCCAAGGUAGGAUGUCGCCUUGACUCCCAACCCUCCCCCACCAAAUCACAAAUCAAUGUCACCGUCAUUUGUGAACAGUGACGUGGCACGUGGUCCACUUGUGUAUCCUUUGGCAUCUGUGAGACGAACGUCCAUUUUCCUCUUUUCCUUCCCCGUUCCCACACUACCCCUGGCGUCCUCUCCCAUAGCUGACACCUAUCCCUAACUCCUCCUCAGUAGGAAAAGCAGCUUCCAAUGUCAGAAAGAGGAUGGGCCACAGCGGACUUGGUGAGACACCCUGUCUUCCAGCCCACGUGUCCCCCUCUCCCCUUCGCAUACACACGGUCACCCACAUAGCCAGUCCUGUCCUUACACUGGGAACUGCUGGCCAUCAGCAAGGUUCAGGUGCAGAAGGAAGCACCUGUCAGGGGUCAGCCUGGCUCUGCCACUCGCCAUGUGACCUAAGCCAUUCUCUCUCCAAGCCUCAGGCUCCCUGUUGGUAAAAGGACAGAUCUGGCUGAGGUGCCUCUCCAGGGCCGCUUCAGCUUGGCCAGCGUAUGAUGAGAGUUAUCGUCCACCAGAACAUGCUGCUUUUUCCAGCUCCCAAACAUAACAAGGAUUCUUCCAUUCAUUCUGGGUAGUUUGGACUUUUUAAAAAAAUAUCUUACUUUACCAGGUUUUUGAGGUCCACUGCCACUCAAAGGCCAAAAUCAUCCCAGUGUCAGCAGCUAAAAGCAAAUCAGUUCAGAAAGCAUCUGUGUGUCUCAUCUGAACACAAUUUCUGCUUUGAACCUCAUGCCAAGUCUGGGGCUUAUCAGCCAGACUGUGUGAAUUACCAUAUGAAGAAUGUUCUUGGAUCAUAUUUAAAAGAAUCCUCUUUUCAGUUUAGAAAAUAAAAACACCCCAGUCCUCCAGAAAAUACAUACAAAUUUUUGUCUAAAUGUCCAGAGCCAUGGCCAUCUUCUGAGAUAUAAUUAUCUCCCCCUGGAAUAAAGGAAUCUUGUAGCUACGAGGGAAGCUGAGAAGCCAGAACACUCUGCUCAAGACUACAGUGAGGCCACCACAGACGGUUGCCCAAGUCGUUCACUGCACAAGCAUGCUCCACGAAUGAGCGGGGAGGUUGGAGGCUGCCUGCCCUCCACUAGCCAUGCCGAGUGUCCAGCGUGAGAUGACAUCAGUUCACAGGGAGGUGCACCUUUUGGGAACUGACAAAGGCACUGUUGAUGCUAGCAGGCAGCCCUCAGCCUGGAGAAAUAGGUCUGCUUACAUCGUCUCCCAGAGGCUCAUGGCAAGAGGACAUAGCAGAAAAGCAGAAAUGAAGGCGAGCUCAUGGGGUGGGUGUGAGAAGCAGCUCCAUCUGGAGACCCUCUUAGUUUCUGCAGGGGUUUGUACCCCGAGUCCAUCAGUCGGCUUCCAAAGGCACACUGGGAAAACCCAGGGACUGCUCCCCACCUUCCCUCCCCUCCCCUUCCUCCACCACCCCUCAUUUGGGGCUCAGCUCAGCCUUCCCCGGCCUCCCGGCUAAUGCCGGAGUCCUGUUAGAUGUUCUCAGAACACUGUUUUUCCUUUAUCAGGUUCACAUUGCACUUUGCAGUGAGAUGUUUGCAGGUAAGUUGCUUCAUCUCUGUCUCCCUGACUCCACUGUCUGCUGUGUGAGGCAGGAUGCACUGGGCUUUGCUCUCGGAUCCCCUUCACAGCAUGUGAGGUACAAAGCAGGGGCUGGGGGCGGAUGGAAAUGGUGUGAAUGAAAGGGCCUGUGUCUUGCACUUCUGCAGCUCUUCCUACCAGGCUAGAGGGCAGUUUGGACACAGAAACAGGCAGUCUUCAUGACCUAAGCCUUGUGCUCAGGCCCACAGGAUAGAGAUUAGAAAAGACCCCAACCCUGGCCUGGCAUCCAGAAAACACAGGAAGACAAAUACAAAUGCAGCUUCCCAAGCUCAGGCCACGCGAUCCGGCCAUGCAGGAUUUGUAUGUGUAACAAGGUGCCCCGGGUGAGGUCAGGGUUGAGAACCCACAGCUGUGGUUGCAGUGGGUAUAAGGAACCUUCGAUACCAAAGAGGAGGAGCCGAGGGCCAGCCUGAAGGCUCCUGGAAGGCUUUCUGGUGGAAAGAUGCCUCAGCUGUGUCUUGACCAAAGUGAAAGGAGAGAAGGGCAUUCCAGAUCGAAGGAACAGCAUGAACAAAACAGAGACAGGCCCCUGCAUGGCCACGCUGGUGGGCCAGGGCGGUGGGAUUGAACCACGAUGACAGGAACCAGGCUUCUGGUGAAAAAUCAAGCACAAGUCACCCACUAUUCAGCUGAGCUCCCAGAACCUUCUAGGGAGGUAGCCCACGUCUUAGCAACCCAAGAAAAAUUCUUCUGCGCCCCCUUUGAAUGUAUGGCUUCGUUCCUAUUUUGAUUCCAUUUACCUUCUCUUUAUCUUCUUUCUCUAAUGAGACGGUGGCCUCAUGGAAUAGCUUUCCUGGCCCAGAGCCAUCAGGGCAGUAUUGCCAGGGCCUUCCUUGAUAAAUAGGUUGGACUUAAGAAUCCCAAGUUGUGGGGAUUUUGAACAUUUAUUAUGUAAUGAUUAGUGAAUUUUUGUUAAUUUUGUUGGGGUACAAUAAUGGCAUUAUGGUUUUGUAAAAGAACACUUUCGGGGGGGGGCUUUUUUAGGGCCACACCCACAGUUUAUAGAGGUUCCCAGGCUAGGGGGUUGAAUCAGAGCUGCACCUGCCAGCCUACACCACAGCCACAGCAACGCCGGAUCCUUAACCCACUGAGCAAGGCCAGGGAUGGAACCCGCAACCUCAUGGUUCCUAGUCAAAUGCGUUUCCACUGCACCACCUCGGGAACUCCAGGAACACCUUUUAUUGAGAUGCACACAGAUGAAGGUGUGAGAUGCCAUGACACCUUGACAUCUGUAAUUUUCUUUAAGAUUGUUCAGCAAGUAUAUAAAUAUGGCAAAAAAAAAAAAAAA